CACUUUCCUUCCACCAUCCUUUUCUGCACGUGCUUUUUCUAUCCACGUAUAUAGAAUCCUACGUCUCCGGCUUUACAGAAUACCAUUUCUCUUUUUUCCUCUGUCCUCCGCCUCCUUCUUCUCCACCUCCUCCUCCCCCAGCCCAUGGCCGUCGUCCGUGAACGCCGCCAGCUCAACCUCCGCCUCCCUAUUCCUGAAUCCUCCGAGCGCCGUCCUCGCUUCCCCUUGCCACUUCCUCCCAGUGUCACCACUUCUACCAACAACACCACGACCGCUGCCUCCGCUAUGAUUUCUUGUAACGAUCUCGAAAAGCUCCAAGUUUUAGGCCAUGGAAAUGGUGGUACAGUCUAUAAAGUACGUCAUAAGAGGACUUCCCAAGUUUAUGCCCUUAAAGUUGUCCAUGGCGACACCGAUGACUCCCUCGUCCGCCGCCAAGUCAUCCGAGAAAUGGAAAUCCUACGCCGAACAGAUUCUCCUUAUAUCGUUCACUGCCAUGGAAUCUAUGAGAAACCCUCUGGUGAUAUAGGCAUUUUAAUGGAGCAUAUGGAUUUAGGCACUCUUGAUACGCUUCUGCAAAAGCAAGGUACUUUCUCAGAGGCUAAACUUGCUCAUGUGGCUCGUCAGGUUCUUAAUGGGCUAAACUACUUACACAGCCAUAAAAUCAUCCAUCGGGACAUUAAACCUUCAAAUUUAUUGGUGAAAAAUGGGAUGGAAGUGAAGAUUGCAGAUUUUGGUGUAAGCAAAAUCAUGCACAGAACUCUAGAUGCUUGUAAUUCCUAUGUGGGUACUUGUGCUUAUAUGAGUCCUGAACGCUUCGAUCCUGAUACUUACGGAGGAAACUACAAUGGAUAUGCUGCUGACAUUUGGAGCUUGGGUCUUACCUUGUUGGAGCUCUAUUUGGGUCAUUUCCCAUAUUUGAAACCAGGUCAGAGACCUGAUUGGGCCACUCUGAUGUGCGCUAUCUGCUUCGGUGACCCACCUAACUUGCCGGAGGAUGCGUCGGAGGAGUUUCGGAGCUUUCUAGAGUGUUGCUUGCAGAAAGAAUCUAGUAAGAGGUGGACGGCAGCACAGUUACUGUCACACCCAUUUGUUUGUAAAGAUCCGAGAUCCGACAAGUGAACUGGCCAUCCAAGUGAAUUGGCAAUUGAGUUUUGUAUAUAAACUGCCGGAUUCGGAUUCGGAUUCGGUUUCAGAUUCACAUUCGGAUUUUUCAUUUUCAUUAAUUAAUUUUCUUCUUUUGUAUAUUCUCUUAAAACAGAUUAAUUAUUCUCUAUUAAAUGAUGAUUAAUAAAAAC
rnacentral:misc_RNA from 1 species